rnacentral:rRNA from 1 species
AGUGAACGCUGGCGGUAGGCCUAACACAUGCAAGCCGAACGGCAGCACAGGAGAGCUUGCUCUCUAGGUGGCGAGUGGCGGACGGGUGAGGAAUACAUCGGAAUCUGCCCAGUCGUGGGGGAUAACGUAGGGAAACUUACGCUAAUACCGCAUACGACCUUCGGGUGAAAGAGGGGGAUCGCAAGACCUCUCGCGAUUGGAUGAGCCGAUGUCGGAUUAGCUAGUUAGCGGGGUAAUGGCCCACCAAGGCGACGAUCCGUAGCUGGUCUGAUGGGAUGAUCAGCCACACUGGAACUGAGACACGGUCCAGACUCCUACGGGAGGCAGCAGUGGGGAAUAUUGGACAAUGGGCGCAAGCCUGAUCCAGCCAUACCGCGUGGGUGAAGAAGGCCUUCGGGUUGUAAAGCCCUUUUGUUGGGAAAGAAAUCUUUCAGGCUAAUACCCUGGGAGGAUGACGGUACCCAAAGAAUAAGCACCGGCUAACUUCGUG